AUUGCCUCAGUAACGGCGAGUGAAGCGGCAAGAGCUCAAAUUUGAAAGCUGGCCCCUCCGGGGUCCGCAUUGUAAUUUGCAGAGGAUGCUUCGGGCUCAGCCCCCGUCUAAGUGCCCUGGAACGGGCCGUCGGAGAGGGUGAGAAUCCCGUCUGGGACGGGGUGCCUGGGUCCAUGUGAAGCUCCUUCGACGAGUCGAGUUGUUUGGGAAUGCAGCUCUAAAUGGGUGGUAAAUUUCAUCUAAAGCUAAAUACUGGCCGGAGACCGAUAGCGCACAAGUAGAGUGAUCGAAAGAUGAAAAGCACUUUGAAAAGAGAGUUAAACAGCACGUGAAAUUGUUGAAAGGGAAGCGCUUGCGAUCAGACUCGCCUGCGGGGUUCAGCCGGCAUUCGUGCCGGUGUACUUCCCCGUGGGCGGGCCAGCGUCGGUUCGGGUGGCCGGUCAAAGGCCCCGGGAAUGUGUCGCCCUCCGGGGCGUCUUAUAGCCCGGGGUGCCAUGCGGCCUACCUGGACCGAGGAACGCGCUUCGGCUCGGACGCUGGCGUAAUGGUCGUAAGCGACCCGUCUUGAAACACGGACCAAGGAGUCUAACAUCUACGCGAGUGUUUGGGUGGCAAACCCAUACGCGCAGUGAAAGCGAACGGAGGUGGGAACCCUUCGGGGCGCACCAUCGACCGAUCCUGAUGUCUUCGGAUGGAUUUGAGUAAGAGCGUAGCUGUGGGGACCCGAAAGAUGGUGAACUAUGCCUGAAUAGGGCGAAGCCAGAGGAAACUCUGGUGGAGGCUCGCAGCGGUUCUGACGUGCAAAUCGAUCGUCAAAUUUGGGUAUAGGGGCGAAAGAC
rnacentral:rRNA from 2 species